AGAUCAAAGCCCCUGGGCUGGGCUCCUAGUGCUUCUCCCCAGCGAGGCCUUCCCUUCGAUGGGGCCCUGAGGAAUUCAUUCAUUUGCUUCAGCGAGGCCUUCCCUUCGAUGGGGCCCUGAGGAAUUCAUUCAUUUGCUUCAGUUAAUCGGCGUCUUUGGUUUGUUUUUUUCCCUCCGCCUGGCAGAGAUUCCUUUGGGAACGCCAGGGACGACAGUGGCCCUGUUGCCACUGCCGAUGAACGAGAGGCCUGCUCACCAUAACGGCUCCCAACGUGCCUGCCACAAGUCAAAGGCCUGUUGGCUACAGGGACCAAAAAAACCCCCCAAAACACCAGGAUCUCACCAGACUGUCUGGUCACCUUCGUCUAGGAAAUCUUCCUCAACCUGUCACCAUUAAAAGGCACCCACCAUCAGCAAGGCCCGCAGCCAUAGUGCAGGAUGCACAUAUAGAACAAGUAAGGCAAGAGAUUAGUGAGGAUAUAGGAAUUUUCUCCUCUGCAAUCCUUUUCCCAUACCUCCCCAAGGAACCACAGCAAUGGGGAAGAAGAGGGGCAAGAGGCAAGCUACUCGUCUAAGGAUUCUCCCAUAGGAUUCUGCCCUUGUCUCCACCAAGCAGCUUCUCAUGAGAUUAGAGAUGAGCAGAGGAUCCAGUGGGCACCAACGGAGGGAGAUGGGACUAGUCACAGACCACGGGGACUGGACACAGCCUAUUCUGGAGUCUGACACCCGGAUCCAGGAGCGCUACUGAAAGCCCCGCCCAGGAGCCUAGCACCGUGAAAACUGGCUCGGCUGCUUCAACACGUUCAGUGAACUUUAUCUACACAGGCCCCGGCUGCUCAGUAUUCAAAAACCCAUUUAUUUGAUUCUGCUGGCCCUGUUGCUUUUCUCCCUAUGUCACCAACUCGCCCCAAAACAGGAGCAUUAAGGGGGAAUAUCAGCAGAGAUGAACUCUGUUGCCUCACAGGAAUGUAGUCUUGACAACAACCUGUCUUCUGGAGGACUUCAGGCACUACUGAUCGGCAGAAAGAAAAUCAACUGUUCUUGCUUAACAGAAGCUUCCAGAGUGAAUCAUCACUUUCCCUGCUCUCCCUGAGGCGUGCCGCAGCCAGGGAAUGCUUGUCAUUGCCGGAGAGACCAUUACCUCAUUUUCUCUCUUCGUUCCCAGGGGUUAACAAGGAACUGGCCACAGUCAGCCACUAAUCCUUUCAAACACUUCUGGAAAAGUAAACUCAUUCUCACUUUUCUCAAAAGGCCUGGUCAGUUUCAGCUUCUUCACACCAAACCAUGGACAUGCCCCCACGAUGACCUGGAAGUGCUCUUUUUUAGUGCAAAGCAGGCUCGGUGCCCUCUGUAGUCCUGGGCUUCUCAUCCUAGACUGCGUAAAGGGCGUCUGACUUACUACCUGUUAGACUUAAGUGAUUUUUCCCUUUAUUAGGUAUCGGGUUAAAGGUAACCAACCAAAGCACCAUAACAACUAUAAACUGGCCCUUUCCAAGACUUUAUUUAGACUAAAGUUCCUAAAGAUAUCAAAUCUUAUUAAAU